rnacentral:lncRNA from 1 species
GUUGUUUUUAGCUUUCCUUUGGCGAAUUUCGAGUUUUUUUGAUAAUUUCUCUGUUGUUGACGUUUUGUGGCAUCAAUAGCGGUAAUGAAGUAGGUAGUGAUGUUUUUAAUCUCCUAUUUAGGAACAAUUGUGCUGGCGAAAGAUCAAUGUCCAACGGUGUGUUUCGAUAGUCUAAUAGAGCUUUGUGUGGAUCCUUCGAUUUCAUAAUUAGCUUCUUGAUGGUUUGAACGCUUCUUUCUGCUUGUCCGUUCGACUGAGCAUAGUGUGGGCUGCUCG